rnacentral:rRNA from 1 species
ACUCCUGCGGGAGGCAGCAGUGAGGAAUAUUGGACAAUGGGUGGAAGCCUGAUCCAGCCAUCCCGCGUGCAGGAAGACGGCCCUAUGGGUUGUAAACUGCUUUUAUCUGGGGAUAAACCUACUUACGUGUAAGUAGCUGAAGGUACCAGAAGAAUAAGCACCGGCUAACUCCGUGCCAGCAGCCGCGGUAAUACGGAGGGUGCAAGCGUUAUCCGGAUUUAUUGGGUUUAAAGGGUCCGUAGGCGGACUGAUAAGUCAGUGGUGAAAUCCGACAGCUUAACUGUCGAACUGCCAUUGAUACUGUUAGUCUUGAGUAAGGUUGAAGUGGCUGGAAUAAGUAGUGUAGCGGUGAAAUGCAUAGAUAUUACUUAGAACACCAAUUGCGAAGGCAGGUCACUAAGUCUUAACUGACGCUGAUGGACGAAAGCGUGGGGAGCGAACAGGAUUAGAAACCCUGGUAGUCCCA